CUAUGAAGUAAAUGUUCAUUUAUUUAUCUAUAACCAAUAAAGGUAUUUAUUUAUCUUUUAUUUUUCUCAGGUUAUUUUUAAUUCUAAUUGUUCUAGGUUUCUUGUGCCAAAGUAAAAUAAGGUUUUUCUUGUGGAAGAAUAAAGAUGCUUAGUAGGAUAUGCAGACGUAGCUUCAGCUCUGCUUUUCCUCAACCAUGGCUCUUUAUUGGGCUGGGCAAUCCUGGUGAUAAAUACAAGGGAACAAGACAUAAUGUUGGAUUUGAUAUGGUAGAUGCAUUUGCACAGUCAGUUGGCAUCCAGAUGGAUGAUGUACAUUGCAAAGCUAUAUUUGGGAAAGGUUUCCUUAAUGGAGUUC